rfam:Dipodomys ordii contig_17963, whole genome shotgun sequence.
GGGAAGGUGGCUCAGUGGUAGAGCGCUUGCCUUGCAUGCCUGAGGCCCUGGGUUUGAU